UGUGUCUUGUCGUGCUGCUGCU
rnacentral:miRNA from 1 species